rnacentral:rRNA from 1 species
GCAGCCAUCAUUUAAAGAGUGCGUAAUAGCUCACUAGUCGAGUGACACUGCGCCGAAAAUGUACCGGGGCUAAACAUAUUACCGAAGCUGUGGAUUGUCCUUUGGACAAUGGUAGGAGAGCGUUCUAAGGGCGUUGAAGCAUGAUCGCAAGGACAUGUGGAGCGCUUAGAAGUGAGAAUGCCGGUGUGAGUAGCGAAAGACGGGUGAGAAUCCCGUCCACCGAUUGACUAAGGUUUCCAGAGGAAGGCUCGUCCGCUCUGGGUUAGUCGGGUCCUAAGCUGAGGCCGACAGGCGUAGGCGAUGGAUAACAGGUUGAUAUUCCUGUACCACCAUUAUUCGUUUUAAGCGAUGGGGGGACGCAGUAGGAUAGGCGAAGCGUGCUGUUGGAGUGCACGUCCAAGCAGUGAGAUUGAGUGUUAGGCAAAUCCGGCACUCUUAAGAUUGAGCUGUGAUGGGGAGAGGAACUUGUUCCUCGAGUCGUUGAUUUCACACUGCCGAGAAAAGCCUCUAGCUAGAAUAACGGUGCCCGUACCGCAAACCGACACAGGUAGUCAAGAUGAGAAUUCUAAGGUGAGCGAGCGAACUCUCGUUAAGGAACUCGGCAAAAUGACCCCGUAACUUCGGGAGAAGGGGUGCUCUUUGAGGUUCACGCUUCGAAGAGCCGCAGUGAAUAGGCCCAAGCGACUGUUUAUCAAAAACACAGGUCUCUGCUAAACCGUAAGGUGACGUAUAGGGGCUGACGCCUGCCCGGUGCUGGAAGGUUAAGAGGAGUGGUUAGCGCAAGCGAAGCUACGAAUCGAAGCCCCAGUAAACGGCGGCCGUAACUAUAACGGUCCUAAGGUAGCGAAAUUCCUUGUCGGGUAAGUUCCGACCCGCACGAAAGGCGUAACGAUUUGGGCACUGUCUCAACGAGAGACUCGGUGAAAUCAUAGUACCGGUGAAGAUGCCGGUUACCCGCGACAGGACGGAAAGACCCCGUGGAGCUUUACUGUAGCCUGAUAUUGAAAUUCGGUACAGUUUGUACAGGAUAGGUAGGAGCCUUAGAAGCGUGAGCGCUAGCUUACGUGGAGGCAUUGGUGGGAUACUACCCUAAUUGUAUUGGAUUUCUAACCCGCAGCACUUAUCGUGCUGGGAGACAGUGUCAGGCGGGCAGUUUGACUGGGGCGGUCGCCUCCUAAAGAGUAACGGAGGCGCUCAAAGGUUCCCUCAGAAUGGUUGGAAAUCAUUCAUAGAGUGUAAAGGCAUAAGGGAGCUUGACUGCGAGACCUACAAGUCGAGCAGGGUCGAAAGACGGACUUAGUGAUCCGGUGGUUCCGCAUGGAAGGGCCAUCGCUCAACGGAUAAAAGCUACCCCGGGGAUAACAGGCUUAUCUCCCCCAAGAGUUCACAUCGACGGGGAGGUUUGGCACCUCGAUGUCGGCUCAUCGCAUCCUGGGGCUGUAGUCGGUCCCAAGGGUUGGGCUGUUCGCCCAUUAAAGCGGUACGCGAGCUGGGUUCAGAACGUCGUGAGACAGUUCGGUCCCUAUCCGUCGUGGGCGUAGGAAAUUUGAGAGGAGCUGUCCUUAGUACGAGAGGACCGGGAUGGACAUACCUCUGGUGUACCAGUU